UGCAGUCGACGAGCUUCCGUUGAUGACGUGCUUGCACUGAUUUCAACAAUGAAGCGAGUGGCGAACUGGUGAGUAACACGUGGGGAAUCUGCCCAGAAGCAGGGGAUAACACUUGGAAACAGGUGCUAAUACCGUAUAACAACAAAAUCCGCAUGGAUUUUGUUUGAAAGGUGGCUUCGGCUAUCACUUCUGGAUGAUCCCGCGGCGUAUUAGUUAGUUGGUGAGGUAAAGGCCCACCAAGACGAUGAUACGUAGCCGACCUGAGAGGGUAAUCGGCCACAUUGGGACUGAGACACGGCCCAAACUCCUACGGGAGGCAGCAGUAGGGAAUCUUCCACAAUGGACGAAAGUCUGAUGGAGCAAUGCCGCGUGAGUGAAGAAGGGUUUCGGCUCGUAAAACUCUGUUGUUAAAGAAGAACACCUUUGAGAGUAACUGUUCAAGGGUUGACGGUAUUUAACCAGAAAGCCACGGCUAACUACGUGCCAGCAGCCGCGGUAAUACGUAGGUGGCAAGCGUUGUCCGGAUUUAUUGGGCGUAAAGCGAGCGCAGGCGGUUUUUUAAGUCUGAUGUGAAAGCCUUCGGCUUAACCGGAGAAGUGCAUCGGAAACUGGGAGACUUGAGUGCAGAAGAGGACAGUGGAACUCCAUGUGUAGCGGUGGAAUGCGUAGAUAUAUGGAAGAACACCAGUGGCGAAAGCGGCUGUCUAGUCUGUAACUGACGCUGAGGCUCGAAAGCAUGGGUAGCGAACAGGAUUAGAUACCCUGGUAGUCCAUGCCGUAACGAUGAGUGCUAAGUGUUGAGGGUUUCGGCCCUUCAGUGCUGCAGCUACGCAUUAAGCACUC
rnacentral:rRNA from 2 species